rfam:Camelus ferus unplaced genomic scaffold scaffold253, whole genome shotgun sequence.
GAGGGUAGAGCUCAGUGGUAGAGUGCGUGCUUAGCGUACACGAGGUCCUUGGUUCAAUCCCCAGUGCCUCCA